GAAAAGGGAGCUUCUGGAACUGAGAACCAAACUAUCCAAACAGGAGAGUCUCCUUCAGAGCACAGCUGAGCAUCUGAAGACCGCCAACCAGCAGAAGGAGAGCAUGGAACAGUUCAUCUUCAGCCAGUUGACCAGGACACACGAUGUUUUGAAGAAGGCAAGGACAAAUUUGGAGGUGAAAUCCCUAAGGGCUCUGCCAUGCACUCCAGUCCUGUGACCCUUGCCUUCCAGGAGCCAUGCAAGAUGCAAAGCCACCAAAGG